AAAAGCUCAAAUUAGCCUUGUAAAUUAAGUUUUAUUUUUAGAUUAUAUGUAAGUUUUUUUUAAAAAUAGCUGGCAGUAAUUAGUUUUAAUAAUUAAAAAAAUUUAGAAUUAGAAAAAAUAAUUAGUAUUAACAAAAUUUGUGCCAGCAGUUGCGGUUAUACAGAUAAUGUAAUUUAAUUUAGUUAAUAUCAAUAAAUUUUUAAUUAAAUUUAAAAUAAAAUUUUUUUAAGUGGAAUUUUAAAGUUUUAAGUAAAUUAAAUGAAUUUAAAUGAGGUUGAGAAAUUUAUAAGUUAAACUAGGAUUAGAUACCCUAUUAUUUUAAAUGUAAUAAAAUUAUUAAAUUAUUAUAAGUUAUGUUCUUUAAAAUUAAUAAUUUUGGCGGUAUUUUAGUCUUUUCAGAGGAACCUGUUUUUUAAAUGAUAGUCCACGAUUAAUAACACUUUAUUUAUUAGUUUACAUAUCGUCGUAUUAAAAUAUUUUUUAAGGAUUUUAAUAUUUAAGAUUUUUAAUGAAAAAAUUUAUCAGAUCAAGGUGUAGUUUAUAUUAAAGUUAAAAUGGGUUACAUUAAUUUUAUUUUUGGAUAAUUUUAAUUAUAGAUUUUUGAAAUUGGAUUUGACAGUAAAAAUGAUUAUUUUAUUAUUUUGACUUAAGCUCUAAAGUAUGUACAUAUCGCCCGUCGCUUUCAUUUAAUUUGGAAUAAGUCGUAACAAAGUAGAUUUACUGGAAAGUGAAUCUGGAUUAUC
rnacentral:ncRNA from 1 species